UACGUAGGGUGCAAGCGUUGUCCGGAAUUAUUGGGGCGUAAAGAGCUCGUAGGCGGUUUGUUGCGUCGGCUGUGAAAUCCCCGAGGCUCAACCUCGGGUCUGCAGUCGAUACGAGCAAACUAGAGUGUUGCAGGGGAGACUGGAAUUCCUGGUGUAGCGGUGAAAUGCGCCAGAUAUCAGGAGGAACACCGGUGGCGAAGGCGGGUCUCUGGGCAACAACUGACGCUGAGGAGCGAAAGCGUGGGGAGCGAACAGG
rnacentral:rRNA from 1 species